ensembl:lncRNA
AUGUGGAGAGACAGUGAGGUUGUGGGGGUGACCACUGACACUGUUGUUUUGUCUGGAAGGGCCAUGGCGAGCACGGCGGGUUUUGCAGCUGUCUUCUACAGUGAGCCGGCUGUGUUGGGGCUCCUGGCAAACGUCGUCAGCGCCUUCCUCCUCUGCCUGCAGAACUUUGCCACAGCGCACACAGGCCUCAGGCCGCAGGGAGCAGAGGAUGUCCUCGCAGGUGUCCACCUCAUCCUGAUUGGAGGCUUUGUCCAGCUCCUGGCAGGAUUUCUUGCCUUCCGGAAGUACGACCAUCUUGGAGGCGCAGCCUUUCUCACCUUCUCUGCUCUGUGGAGUAGCUACGGGGCCACACGCAUCAUUUCAGCUUCUUAUCCUCCCUUGCAGAACAUAACUCUAUCCUCGGAGAAAGCCAGUGACCUCCUGUCCUCCACCAUGACACACCUCUCUACUAGCCAAAGUGCGGUGGCAGGGCUUGUGGCCUACAUCUCCAUUUCCUUUAUUCUCUCCUUCUGCUCAGCCACAGUGAACUACAUCAUGCCUUUCAUAUUUGGGGCCAUUGCUCUUGCCUUGGUGUUUGAGGCUGUUGCACUGUUUGGCCAGUGGGCCCUGAUAGUGUCAGGUGUCAUUGAGCUUGUCAUUGUCCUGUGCGGGUUGUAUGGUGCUGUGGCUCUCCUGUUGAAGGGCAUCACACAACGGUACAUCCUUCCAGGCUUUGGACAUCCCCUCUUCAAUGUCUUGCUACUGGGGUCAGCACAGAAGAGCUCUUCCAAGGCCAUUGGGGAAGAGAAGAAAAAGAAUACAAAGUAUGCUGAGCCAAUGGCCCUAGGCAACAUCUGUGAUACUGUCUCUCCAUUUAUAUUCGCUUUUUACUUCUUUGGGUACAUGAAGACCUUCUGUGUUGGAGCAGCGUGGAUAUCCAUCAUCUCCAGCUGCCAACUUCUCUCUAGCUUCUACAGCUAUCUCAGAGGUGAUGUCUACUACACUACCAAGUUUGGUGUCCACAGCCUCUUUUGGCUGGUAAUGUCUUGGGAAGAGUUUGUACUCACCACCUUCCUUGAGCCAGGCAAAGCUCAGGAGAGCAGGGUGGGAAUGUUUGGAGGGUGGUUCUUCUUGGUUGUUGCCUGCAUGCUGUUUCUGAUGUCAACCCACAAAGACACCCUGGAGAUGUUGCAAAAUGCCUCUUUCGUCAUCCUCACGUCUGCCUUCAUCCAUCAGAUCCCAGUGUCGGGUGCUUAUCCAUUCCUUGGGGCUGCCUGUAGUCUCUGCACUGCUCUCUCGAUGUAUGCCACUUUUGCCAGCCUUAUCAACUCCAUCGGGGAGAAGGCUUUGAUUCCAGUUGGCAAACAAGCUAUGUCCAGUUCAGCUCUUCAAACCACACUGAUGGCUGCCAAAAUCUGCUUCACUAGGUCCAAGAACCUCCCAAAUGGCACCAAGGCUGAAGUGCCAGAUGCCUUGUUCUACAUCUGCAAUGGCCUGGCAGCAGUCUCUGCCAUCCAGGGUACUCUCAGUGACCCCAGCAGACAGCAACUCUCCAUACCCUCUGUGCUCAUCCCAGGAACCAUAGUGCAGCUGUACGUCAGCAGGAUCCAAGUUCAAGGAGGCAGAAGGUUUGGUUGCAUUCUCCCAUUCUGCUAUGCUGCCUUUUGGGGAGCAUGGACCUGGCUUCGGUUUGCAGGUAACAAAAUGUCAAGCUUCCUAUUUUGCUGUCUCAAAACCAAGGGAUGCUUUUAG